CAACGACACAACACUACAAUGUAACACACACACAGAAACGGACCAAGCAUCAGACAAAAUCCCACGAGAAUAACAAAUAUAACAUCAAAACCAAAUACAUGAAUUUGGGAUAGACAAGUACCGUGACACGUCUUAUCGCAAUGUGAAUUUACACUCAAAAAUAAGAGAAAACAAACGACGCAACGUUAAAAUGUAACACACACAGAAACGAACUAUAAUAUAACAAUGGCCAUAUUCCUUACUUGGUACAGGACAUUUUUAAAGGAAAAAAUGGUGGAUUGAACCUGGUUUUGUGGCAUGCCAAACCUCCCUCUUUUAUAGCCAUGUGAAAUACAACAUUAAAAUGACAACUCAACACCACAGGACUACAAUAUGAAUAAAUUGGAG
rnacentral:lncRNA from 1 species